GACGAACGCUGGCGGCGUGCUUAACACAUGCAAGUCGAACGGAAAGGCCCUGCUCUUGUGGGGUGCUCGAGUGGCGAACGGGUGAGUAACACGUGAGUAACCUGCCCUUGACUUUGGGAUAACUUCAGGAAACUGGGGCUAAUACCGGAUAUGAGCUCCUGCUGCACGGUGGGGGUUGGAAAGUUUCGGCGGUUGGGGCUGGACUCGCGGCUUAUCAGCUUGCUGGUGGGGUAGUGGCUUACCAAGGCUUUGACGGGUAGCCGGCCUGAGAGGGUGACCGGCCACAUUGGGACUGAGAUACGGCCCAGACUCCUACGGGAGGCAGCAGUGGGGAAUAUUGCACAAUGGGCGGAAGCCUGAUGCAGCAACGCCGCGUGCGGGAUGACCGCCUUCGGGUUGUAAACCGCUUUCGCCUGUGACGAAGCGUGAGUGACGGUAAUGGGUAAAGAAGCACCGGCUAACUACGUG
rnacentral:rRNA from 1 species